UAAAAAACAAUGAACUCUAAUUAGCAAGAAUUGUACAUUACCCCUUUAUUAAUAAUUAUGCUGAAAGGGCAAUUACAUAUUGAUAGACUUAAGAGACAAUCAAUCGAUAAUGAUUCUUAUUUUAGGUAGUUUUUUACAACUCAUUAAACGCUAAAAAUAAUCAAAUUUCCAUUUGUUACACUAAAGAAAGAAAAGUAUGGCUCAUCUCAAGUUUGUGUAUGUUAUGAUUUUAUUUCUUUUCCUAUUUCUUAUUACAAAGAACAUUGAAGCAUAUAAAUGUAACAUUGAUGUUGAUUGUCCGAUUACUCCAUCACCGAAGUUUAAGUGGAAGUGCAUUAACAAGCGGUGUCUGUAUAUUAGAUUUGAUGAGAUAUGGACAUCAGAUCCAAGAGAAUAGAAUAUUUUUUGAGCUACAUUUUGUUAUUGUUCUGACACCCAAUGAUUUUGUAUUUUUUAUAUUUUUCUUUUCUUAUUUUCUAGACAUUGAAAUUAUGGUUUUCUAUUAAAAGAUGUUGGUAAUGAAGCGAAAUAAGAUAUUAAAGAAUAUUAUAAGGUCCUAAAUUUGCAGACUAUUUUGGAGCUGAUUGUGUUAUUGGAUUUGAAGGUACAAGAAACACAAGAAGUAAGAGGUUUGGAUUGUGUUUUAGUUAAAAAAAAAAAAAAUCACAAAUACCUUUUAGAUGUUUA